rnacentral:rRNA from 1 species
UACGGGGGGGGCGAGCGUUGUUCGGAAUUACUGGGCGUAAAGGGCGCGUAGGCGGUGCGCUAAGUCGGAUGUGAAAACUCUGGGCUCAACCCAGAGCCUGCAUCCGAAACUGGCGUGCUAGAGUUCUGGAGGGGAUAGCGGAAUUCCUGGUGUAGCGGUGAAAUGCGUAGAUAUCAGGAGGAACACCGGUGGCGAAGGCGGCUAUCUGGACAGGAAACUGACGCUGAGGCGCGAAAGCUAGGGGAGCAAACGGG